UACGUAGGGACCAAGCGUUGUUCGGAUUUACUGGGCGUAAAGGGCGCGUAGGCGGCAAUUCAAGUCAUCUGUGAAAUCUCCGGGCUUAACCCGGAAAGGUCAGAUGAUACUGCUUUGCUAGAGUGCGGAAGGGGCAAUCGGAAUUCUUGGUGUAGCGGUGAAAUGCGUAGAGAUCGUAAGGAAGACCAGUGGCGAAGGCGGGUCUCUGGACAGUUCCUGACACUGAGGCACGAAGGCCAGGGGGAGCAAAACGGGG
rnacentral:rRNA from 1 species